GACGAACGCUGGCGGCGUGCUUAACACAUGCAAGUCGAACGAAGAGCGAUGGAAGCUUGCUUCUAUCAAUCUUAGUGGCGAACGGGUGAGUAACGCGUAAUCAACCUGCCCUUCAGAGGGGGACAACAGUUGGAAACGACUGCUAAUACCGCAUACGAUCCAAUCUCGGCAUCGGGACUGGAUGAAAGGUGGCCUCUAUUUAUAAGCUAUCACUGAAGGAGGGGAUUGCGUCUGAUUAGCUAGUUGGAGGGGUAACGGCCCACCAAGGCGAUGAUCAGUAGCCGGUCUGAGAGGAUGAACGGCCACAUUGGGACUGAGACACGGCCCAGACUCCUACGGGAGGCAGCAGGGGGGAAUCUUCCGCAAUGGACGAAAGUCUGACGGAGCAACGCCGCGUGAGUGAUGACGGCCUUCGGGUUGUAAAGCUCUGUUAAUCGGGACGAAUGGUUCUUGUGCGAAUAGGGCGAGGAUUUGACGGUACCGGAAUAGAAAGCCACGGCUAACUACGUG
rnacentral:rRNA from 1 species